CAGAGUAAUACAGUCCAGAAAGAAUCGGCUGCAUCCAUACAAGAGAAAUGAAAAGAGCUUCUCUCUCUUUGGCUUUCUUGGUGACCCUCGUGCUCUUAUCAUCAUGCUUGAUGCUUGCGACAAAAGCAAGAGAUUUGACAGAAAUAAAGGCAGGCGUAUGCCAAUCAGCGGCAGAGUGCUUUAGAUUGUGCGAUGGAUGCCUCGGAAACAAGUGCAUCGAAGGCCGGUGCAUCUGCGGCUGCAUGGCGGAUUAAGGGCUAAAGCGAGGAUGAAACUGCCCUCGGGAAUUAGAAGCAAAAUGCUUGCUGAAUUUACUUGUUUUGUUUGCUUAGUAUUUGCUUCAAUAAAGGUGGUAAUAGCUUGAUUAUAUCUUCAACAACAA